GGACUACUGGGGUUUCUAAUCCCGUUUGCUCCCCUGGCUUUCGCGCAUCAGCGUCAAUCUCGGUCCAGGAUGCCGCCUUCGCCACCGGUGUUCCUCCAGAUAUCUACGCAUUUCACCGCUACACCUGGAAUUCCACAUCCCUCUCCCGAAUUCAAGCUCGCCAGUAUCGGACGCAGUUCCCCGGUUGAGCCGAGGGAUUUCACGUCCGACUUAGCAAGCCGCCUACGCGCCCUUUACGCCCAGUAAUUCCGAACAACGCUCGCCCCCUCUGUAUUACCGCGGCUGCUGGCAC
rnacentral:rRNA from 1 species